GGAAAACUUGGGGGAGAAUGGGCAUCCCACCCCAGCACUUUCUAGGAAGAAGGGCAGCAUUUUGAAGGGCUGGAAGUAGAGGAAGGAGGUUGCGGGUAGAAGACUCCAUACUUUCUGUGACGCCUAUUCCUUAGGAAUCAAGGCUAUCUGUAAUCACAGGGCUAUUUGAAAAAGAGAAGAAAAGGUGUCUUGAAAUUCAACCAACAUGUUUCAAUUAUUUGCUCCUAAGAACAACAGAAGUUUCAACAUUCUGCCAACAGAGUAACUCCUGGAAGAUUGGCACAGAAGAAGGCACAAGGAGAGCCUUUAUAUAACCAAAGAUAUUUUUGGACCAUGAAUUCAGAAAUUCUCGGAGCCACCCAUCAGUGCCUGAGCUUCAGUGAGUCCAUAUCCCAUGUCACCCACGGCAAAGGAGACUCUAAGACUUCUGAAGAGUUUCUUGCUUCUUUCCUGUGGGGCAGUGACUCCACUUCCCAGCAGUAAUGGAAUAUCCUGAAUUAGCUACAUUAAUGUUAGAACCAUUUGGACCUCACCCAGGACUUCAACUACAUUAUGCUAAAGUUACAGAACCCAAAUUUGGCAACUGUCUGCAUCUGAACAACAGAAGUUUCAACAUUCUGCCAACAGAGUAACUCCUGGACGAUUGGCACAGAAGAAGGCACAAGGCAAAUACCCAUCUCUGUACACCCUGUGCUACUGUGUCAUGUGCUGCUCCAGGCAACUCCAAUGGAUUGGCCACCCUGGCCAAUGUGUUCUAGUAUGUUACGUUUAUGUUCCCCUGCUUUCUACAAUCCUGUUCAAAGAGUUGCUGACUUAACCACAGAGAGGAUUCCAGAACCUGAGACACAGAAUAAACUUGAGCAAUCAUAGUCCAUCCACUUCAUUGUCUCAUCAAAAACCAAAGGUCCAGUGAAGCUCUGGAACUCAACGCUGUAAAGGAGCGAAGGAGCUUCUAUACAGAGCCUGGAUGCCUGUCUCCUUAUCCUACUUCAGUGGACUUGACUGCAAUCCGG
rnacentral:lncRNA from 1 species